UACGUAGGGUGCGAGCGUUAAUCGGAAUUACUGGGCGUAAAGCGUGCGCAGGCGGUUCGUUGUGUCGGCGGUGAAAGCCCCGGGCUCAACCUGGGAAUGGCCGUUGAAACUGGCGAACUGGAGUGUGGCAGAGGGGGGUGGAAUUCCACGUGUAGCAGUGAAAUGCGUAGAGAUGUGGAGGAACACCGAUGGCGAAGGCAGCCCCCUGGGUUAACACUGACGCUCAGGCACGAAAGCGUGGGAGCAAACAGG
rnacentral:rRNA from 1 species